rnacentral:rRNA from 1 species
CAAUAGCGUAUAUUAAAGUUGUUGCGGUUAAAAAGCUCGUAGUUGGAUUUCUGUUGGGAACGACCGGUCCGCCCAUUGGGUGUGUAUCUGGCUUGUUCUCGGCAUCUUCUUGGUGAACGUUGCUGCACUUGACUGUGUGGAGCGCUACCCAGGACUUUUACUUUGAGGAAAUUAGAGUGUUUCAAGCAGGCAUAUGCCUUGAAUACAUUAGCAUGGAAUAAUAAGAUAGGACCUCGGUUCUAUUUUGUUGGUUUCUAGAGCUGAGGUAAUGAUUAAUAGGGAUAGUUGGGGGCAUUCGUAUUUAACUGCCAGAGGUGAAAUUCUUGGAUUUGUUAAAGACGGACUACUGCGAAAGCAUUUGCCAAGGAUGUUUUCAUUGA